rnacentral:lncRNA from 1 species
UUUGUUGUUUGAGAAGGCCUCCAACUUUCAUCGUUUGUGGGAUUGAGUAGCCAACUAGUGUAUGUACCGUAACUUUGGUCGGUUGUGGCUCUUCUUCUGCAUCUUCUUCUUCAUGUUUAAGGCUCUCUUUUGAAUGUUAAAUUACCUCUUCUUCUAUCGGUUCAAUCAUAAGAAGUCCCCCUUUACUACAGCGAUGCUCGCGGCUCCACGGC